rnacentral:rRNA from 1 species
GACGAACGCUGGCGGCGUGCCUAAUACAUGCAAGUCGAACGAAGCUGUUUUAACUGGUGCUUGCACCGACUUAAACAACUGAGUGGCGAACGGGUGAGUAACACGUGGGUAACCUGCCCCAAAGCGGGGGAUAACAUUUGGAAACAGAUGCUAAUACCGCAUAACCACAGAAACCAAAUGGUUUCUGUGUCAAAGAUGGUUUCGGCUAUCACUUUGGGAUGGACCCGCGGCGUAUUAGCUAGUUGGUAAGGUAAUGGCUUACCAAGGCAAUGGUACGUAGCCGAACUGAGAGGUUGAUCGUCUACAUUGGGACUGAGACACGGCCCAAACUCCUACGGGAGGCAGCAGUAGGGAAUCUUCCGCAAUGGACGAAAGUCUGAUGGAGCAACGCCGCGUGAGUGAAGAAGGUUUUCGGAUCGUAAAACUCUGUUGUCAGAGAAGAACGUGUGCGAGAGUAACUGUUCGUGCAGUGACGGUAUCUGGCCAGAAAGCCACGGCCAACUACGUGCCAGCCGCCGCAGUAA